rnacentral:rRNA from 1 species
AGGAUGAACGCUGGCGGCGUGCCUAGGACAUGCAAGUCGAGUGGGUUUAGGCCCACGGCGAACGGGUGAGUAAUACCUAGGAACUUUUUUCAAGUCGAGGAUAUCCUUCCGAAAGGAAGUGCAAUACUUGAUGUGGCAGCAAUGCUAAAGGAGCAAUCCGCUUGAAGCAAGGCCUGGGCACCAUCAGCUAGUUGGUAAGGUAAUGGCUUACCAAGGCUUUGACGGUUAGCGGAUCUGAGAGGAUGGCCCGCCACACUGGGACUGCGACACGGCCCAGACUCCUACGGGAGGCAGCAGUUUGGAAUUUGGUCAAUGGGGAAACCCUGAACCAGCGACGCCGCGUGGACGAUGAAGGCCUUCGGGUCGUAAAGUCCUUUGGCAGGGAAAAUUUUGAUUGUACCUGCAGAAUAAGAGUUGCUAACUCUGCGCCAGCAGCCGC